AAACAAUAUAAUUUUUCAGAUAAAGGGUUCAUUUACUUCUAAAAAUGGGCAACAUAAAGUUAAUCCAUAUAGUAGAGGAUCAAUAUGUGGAAACUGCUUGGCUGUAUUAUGCACUUCAGGUCCUCCAAGUCUGAUAGACAGAAGAGGCAUCAUAACAGAAGAAACGGUUCUUCCUACCGACAACCAUUGGAAAAUAUAUUCCUCCCAGUCCAGAGUCUACGGGAGGGAGAACGGUCCGACUUCCGGCGCCGCCGUCGACCCGGACCCACCCGCCUCCGUCUUUCCUCCGGUGCGAAACGGCAGCGGUCCGCCGGCGGGCGAAGACCGCGGGACGACGGAAGGAUACUACCGGAUCUCCGACGCCCACGGAAAGAAAAAAGCUGAGCCCCGUCCCGGACGCCGCGGAGAAGAAACCGGAAACGCCGUCGUCCCCCCUUCCGGCGGCCUCCGUCCCCCCGCCGCCGCCGCCGACAGAUCGGAAUCGGAAGACGGAGGGAGUCAACUGUCGCUGUUGAGGCAGAGCACCGUCUGAAGAUCCCCGGCGGGCAGAAAGAAGAAGCGUUCUCCUCUUCGCUCGUCUUUCCGUUCUUUUGUAUCAUAUUCGGAUAGAUUCCGGCUCCGACCGAGUUCUGCUGCUGUCCCUGGCGGCCUGGGCGGCGGAUCCGCCUCCCUCGGGAUUCGGACGCCCCGUUCGCCUGCCUUCCGGACGCCGGACGCACUUCCAGACGACCGGGCACCGCGGCCCCGGCAGCUACCGCUACG
rnacentral:misc_RNA from 1 species